AAUUCACCUCCUCUGCUGACACCUCCUCCUGAGGUGUGCAGUGCAGGCUGCAAUCACAUCAGGAAAUUCACAUCUGUGUGUACAAACUGUGCUAGCCACAGAAGUGAUGCAGCUUAAGAAGAGGUGAUAAGGGGUAAAAACACACAGCAAGAAUGUGAAAAGCAGCAGAUGUGAAUGAAGUAUUUAUUAGUGAAGAAGUGGAAGGAACUGAGACAAAUGGCUUCAAUAUAUUAUUAGAGAUCUGACAAAUCUGGACAAAUUUACUAGACAAACCAAGAGAUCUGAGCAAGAACAAGCAUCCUCACACGACAAAGCUGAGCAUGAAGGCGCUCAUGCCUACAGUCAGAACACAGCUCCUCUAAAGGCACAAGUCCAGAAGAAAAGGCUGAUCCACAGUGUUGAACCAGAAUGUCUUGGAAUCCAUGCCCAAGAGCAACUUCAGCCUGAUCAUACAACCCUCUGCCAUUUGGUACAGCUGUAUGGAAUUUUGGUACAGCUGUGUGGAAUUCUUCAGGACUCAGUCUGAUAUUCCUGCUAGCUCUUACACCAUUUCCUCCACAGGGCUCUGAAAUCAUACACUUUAAGUGUUAUUUAUAGCCCAAUCAAGACACAA